GGAUCGUUGAAAAUCGGACUCGGUUCUCGAAUCGACAGCUCACCGAUUUAUUGAACAGACUUUCUUUUUCCAACAUGUCCGAUUUCGAAAUAUGCUGAGAGAUCAUUUGGAGUGAACCGAGAAUGAUGAUCAAUGACUGCUAGAAGUGGAAAAAGAGACUCAUGAAACAGGAUUUCCCUCAACUUAACGAGAGCACGCGCUCCAACAUCGAGCUUUCCACCUGAGCCUGUCUUAUUAUAAUGACUAAAAUCAGAUUGAGAAAACACUACGCCAAGACCUGGGUACAUCCUGAUUCUGUUUGGAGUCAGCACGUCCUGUUGAUUCGCUUUCAUUUGAAGCACAUGCCACGAAUGCAGUACACUUUGGCGGCCCAUGACUUUCUUUAAAGGCACAAAUAGUUAGUAAAACAAAUGUUCUUGUUCCUGAAAAGUUAUAUUUAUUUAUAUAUAUAUAUAUAUAUAUACACUAUGACCAUCUUCCUAAUAUUGUGUUGGUCCCCCUUUUGCUGCCAGAACAGCC